AUUGAACGCUGGCGGAAUGCUUUACACAUGCAAGUCGAACGGCAGCACGGGGCAACCUGGUGGCGAGUGGCGAACGGGUGAGUAAUACAUCGGAACGUGCCCAAUCGUGGGGGAUAACGUAGCGAAAGUUACGCAAAUACCGCAUACGAUCUACGGAUGAAAGCGGGGGAUCGCAAGACCUCGCGCGAAUGGACCGGCCGAUGUCAGAUUAGGUAGGUGGUGGGGUAAAGGCUCACCAAGCCAACGAUCUGUAGCUGGUCUGCGAGGACGACCAGCCACACUGGGACUGAGACACGGCCCAGACUCCUACGGGAGGCAGCAGUGGGGAGUUUUGGACAAUGGGCGCAAGCCUGAUCCAGCCAUUCCGCGUGCAGGAUGAAGGCCUUCGGGUUGUAAACUGCUUUUGUACGGAACGAAACGGUUCUCUCUAAUACAGGGGGCUAAUGACGGUACCGUAAGAAUAAGCACCGGCUAACUACGUGCCAGCAGCCGCCGUAAUAC
rnacentral:rRNA from 1 species